GUGGGUGGAAAAGCUCAUUGUAGAAGCGUCACAUGCUGAGUGCUCGUCCUCCACCAAUCCCCCGGGGAAGGUCUGAGACAAGAGCCAAUGGUUACCCUCGCACAGGGUAUCACCCUGAUGCAGGUGAGUUGACAGGAACAGAACGAAUGGGUCAAUGUGGGAAGUUCUAGCAGGGAAGCCUGGUGCGCAGUUUCUCAGCUACCGGUGGAUGUGAUCUCCCGACUUGGAAUCUCUCGCGGCUGGCAUAUGAGUGCGAUGUAUGAGGUGGGGACACAGCUCCAGAACCCAAUUAGACUACUCUCCCCCCAU
rnacentral:RNase_P_RNA from 1 species